rnacentral:rRNA from 1 species
ACACGUAUCCAACCUGCCGUCUACUCUUGGACAGCCUUCUGAAAGGAAGAUUAAUACAAGAUGGCAUCAUGAGUCCGCAUGUUCACAUGAUUAAAGGUGUUCCGGUAGACGAUGGGGAUGCGUUCCAUUAGAUAGUAGGCGGGGUAACGGCCCACCUAGUCUUCGAUGGAUAGGGGUUCUGAGAGGAAGGUCCCCCACAUUGGAACUGAGACACGGUCCAA